UGGAAAUCAUGGUGUGUGUUUGCAUGGUCUUAGAAAGUUCCCGACAAAAGGAUAAAACUUAAAACUACAGUGAUAAACAGAGCAUACAACUCAUGUAGUUUUGUACUUUUUCUUCCUAUUGGUCUUUGUUUUUCUCUAGUCCGCAUUGGAUUGGUGGCCUAAGAUUGAUGCUGUGUAUUGUCACUCGGUUGAACUUCGAAAUAUGUUUGGUGAAACACUUCAUAAAGCAGUGCAAGGUUGUGGAGCACACCCAGCAAUACGAAUGGCACCGAGUCUUACAUUUAAAGAAAAAGUAACAAGCCUUAAAUUUAAAGAAAAACCUACAGACCUGGAGACAAGAAGCUAUAAGUAUCUUCUCUUGUCCAUGGUGAAACUAAUUCAUGCAGAUCCAAAGCUCUUGCUUUGUAAUCCAAGAAAACAGGGGCCUGAAACCCAAGGCAGUACAGCAGAAUUAAUUACAGGGCUCGUCCAACUGGUCCCUCAGUCACACAUGCCAGAGAUUGCUCAGGAAGCAAUGGAGGCUCUGCUGGUUCUUCAUCAGUUAGAUAGCAUUGAUUUGUGGAAUCCUGAUGCUCCUGUAGAAACAUUUUGG
rnacentral:lncRNA from 1 species